AGCGAACGCUGGCGGCAGGCUUAACACAUGCAAGUCGAGCGGGCACUUCGGUGUCAGCGGCAGACGGGUGAGUAACACGUGGGAACGUACCCUUUGGUUCGGAAUAACGCUGGGAAACUAGCGCUAAUACCGGAUACGCCCUUUUGGGGAAAGGCUUGCUGCCGAAGGAUCGGCCCGCGUCUGAUUAGCUAGUUGGUGGGGUAAUGGCCUACCAAGGCGACGAUCAGUAGCUGGUCUGAGAGGAUGAUCAGCCACACUGGGACUGAGACACGGCCCAGACUCCUACGGGAGGCAGCAGUGGGGAAUAUUGGACAAUGGGCGCAAGCCUGAUCCAGCCAUGCCGCAUGAGUGAUGAAGGCCUUAGGGUUGUAAAGCUCUUUUGUCCGGGACGAUAAUGACGGUACCGGAAGAAUAAGCCCCGGCUAACUUCGUG
rnacentral:rRNA from 1 species